rfam:Gossypium arboreum cultivar AKA8401 contig_50_15, whole genome shotgun sequence.
UGUUAAAAAUUUCAUUAAUUUGUACUUUUCAAAACAUACAUGGUUGAUGGAAUAACUAAAAAGUGACACAUGGUGUGUCAUGUGUAUCUCAUGGUGAUGUACAGAGUCCAGUUUUUAACCAUAGAAAUGGAUGUAAUUUUUAACA